rnacentral:rRNA from 1 species
CCUACGGGCCGCACCAGUGGGGAAUAUUGCACAAUGGGCGCAAGCCUGAUGCAGCCAUGCCGCGUGUAUGAAGAAGGCCUUCGGGUUGUAAAGUACUUUCAGCGAGGAGGAAGGCAUCAAGGUUAAUAACCUUGGUGAUUGACGUUACUCGCGGAAGAAGCACCGGCUAACUCCGUGCCAGCAGCCGCGGUAAUACGGAGGGUGCAAGCGUUAAUCGGAAUUACUGGGCGUAAAGCGCACGCAGGCGGUCUGUCAAGUCGGAUGUGAAAUCCCCGGGCUCAACUUGGGAACUGCAUUCGAAACUGGCAGGCUAGAGUCUUGUAGAGGGGGGUAGAAUUCCAUGUGUAGCGGUGAAAUGCGUAGAGAUGUGGAGGAAUACCGGUGGCGAAGGCAGCCCCCUGGACAAAGACUGACGCUCAGGUGCGAAAGCGUGGGGAGCAAACAGGAUUAGAUACCCGCGUAGUC